CUUCAUGCCCCUCUCCUUGAGAAGUGUCCGAUUAGGGAGGUGGUUCCAGGCAAGUUUAAAAAGAAAAAUUCGCACCCUAGGAUGAGCGGCAACUCUCCAAAUCCAAACAGCCUCAAUCUAUUUGGAAGGCAUCGGACUGUACAAAAGGGAGAAGUCCCUCAAGAGAACCCUCAAGUAGCAAGAACAUCUCCAGACCCUCGUAUCCUGAGUGGAGACAUCGAAAUCGGGAUGGCAAGAUCCACUCUACAAGUAGCUGCCCAA
rnacentral:lncRNA from 1 species